GAUGAACGCUGGCGGCGUGCUUAACACAUGCAAGUCGAACGGAGAUAUUAAAAAUGAAGUAAGGAGCUUGCUUCGGACGGAAUGAUUAAUAUCUUAGUGGCGGACGGGUGAGUAACGCGUGGAUAACCUGCCUUAUACUGGGGGAUAACACUUAGAAAUAGGUGCUAAUACCGCAUAAGCGCACAGCUUCGCAUGAAGUAGUGUGAAAAACUCCGGUGGUAUAAGAUGGAUCCGCGUCUGAUUAGCUAGUUGGUGGGGUAACGGCCCACCAAGGCGACGAUCAGUAGCCGGCCUGAGAGGGUGAACGGCCACAUUGGGACUGAGACACGGCCCAAACUCCUACGGGAGGCAGCAGUGGGGAAUAUUGCACAAUGGGGGAAACCCUGAUGCAGCGACGCCGCGUGAGUGAAGAAGUAUUUCGGUACGUAAAGCCCUAUCAGCAAGGAAGAAAAUGACGGUACUUGACUAAGAAGCCCCGGCUAACUACGUGCCAGCCGCCGCAGUAAGAC
rnacentral:rRNA from 1 species